AUCAUCAGGUAUAACAAAACCUAAACCACCAUCUCUAACUACCACAAACCACUAACUUCUCUCUUCCUCCAUCUUUGUCUAUCUAAAAAAGAAAAAUUCAUGACACCACCAUCAUGAUCUUACCUCUAUUGUCGAUACAUUGUUAAAGUGAGAAGCUAUUGAAAUAGCAGACCCCCAAGAUGAAGUCGGAUGAAAAUGCAUGGCUAAAGAUCUGUUUUUCUCUUUCUCUGAUCUUUUAUUUUCUUCAAUUUCUUUACAUUUUACAUUUUGUUUUUGUAUUUAUAAGUUAGAUCAUAAUAUCAGUGCAAUAAGAUGUGAAUACCAAGAACAUUGAUGUUGCAUAGCUAUGUUGGUAUUCUUAGAGUUUUAUCCAGCAAAUGAAGGGUGGAAGAACAAACACCUAACAAGAAGGGUCUGUAAAGAGGAAGAUGAAGAAAUGAACAAGAUAGGGGCAAAAAGGUCAUUUAUGGUGUUUUAAUAAAAAACAUAUGGCUAUGGAUUGAUAAACAUGGGUUUAUAUUUUCUUUUCCAUUAAUUACAGUCAAUUAAAGUAUACCCAUCAGCACACAUUUUGACCAUACCGUAUCUCUCACUUAUAUCCUCAUUGCUCUUUUUGUUUGAUCUGAGCAUAUUUGAUUUGUGCAUAUUGUGUGUCUGUGUGUUUUGGCUAAAUAACAGAGGCAAAUGAAAUACAUUUACAAACCCUGAUGUAUUCUUAAUACAGGCAAAAUGAUGUUUUUUUUUCAUAAGCAACACAUAAAAGUAACCUAACGUUUAAGUUCCAGAUUCAAGAUCUCCUCUCCUGAGUCCUUGGGGGCAUCAACUGUUUGUGUCAAUUAUGUUUUCAGAAUUCUCGAUCCUUUUUGCAUCCAUUUUCAUUCUAUCGUGUUCAAAACUGCAUAACAUUUGUAGGUUUGUAGUAUAAAGAGAAUCUAUGUGAAGUACCACAAUGUGUACAAGACAAAUGCAAUGAAGGUGGUGAGGUUUGAUUGCAUUAAAAAUCGUGCUAAGAAACAUGAUGCAAGAAAUUGCAAUCCGAAAGCUCUUGAUGAACUUCAAUGGGAUCUUCAUCAUAUUGUUGGUGGACUUCAGUUGGAUCUUCAUCAUGUUGUUGGUGGACUCAUGGACAAUUUCUAAAGUCAUCUAUUCAAUACCAAGGUACAUCUAUUUAAGAAAUAGCUAUGCAUUAAUGGGUUGAACGUAAGAUGUCAUCAAUUAUUUUGAAAAAGGACAUUCCCUUUACUGCUAAUUCCAAAAUAUAACGAACAUAUUUUUGUAUGUUUAUUUAUUAUAAACAUCUACUCUAAUUUUAUAUACUCCAACAAUAUAUUUUAUAUAUUUUUAUGUUAUGUUAUUGUAUUUUAUAUGGUGGUUUCAAAUUGAUAAUGUUUCAUUAAAGGACCCUACUGCUGCACUUUAUCAAAUGUUCCAAAUCAAAAUAUCAGUGGUUCUUCACUUCCUAACUAAGUGGUUGCAGCUUCAAUCUAUCAAAUGCUCACGUUAUGUAAUGUUACCGCUUUUCACCAAGUGUUCCUAUUAAUUUAAAAUGUUACAAACUAUGUCCGUAUUUAAUGAGAAGAUGGUUCUCUAAAUCAAGUGUAAAGAACAUUUAGACUAUCUGGUGAUUUAUAGCUUACUUGGUUGAAAGUUUUUUUUGUUUUUAAAAGGUGUUGUUAUGUUGCUAUCAACAAUUACCCUCUCACAACAUGACUAAAUGUAUAUUUUACUUGAUAUUUAAAUCUUAUUUAUUUAAAGUUAUUUAAUUAUAACGUAAUAAA